rnacentral:lncRNA from 1 species
CUGCCUGUUAGGAAAGCAGGCUGGUGCACUCAAAGGAGGACUCCACCAGAGGAAGGCAAGUCAAAGCCUGCCACCACCACCCUGGCUUCCUGUAAUCCGCAUCUGCACCUGGGUCCAAGGAAGCCCAUUAUGAAAACACUUAUUUCCAUACACUCCCAACCCACAUGCUAAACAAUUUGUGCUCUUGCUGAGGAAGACUCACGAAAAACUGAAAGGUUUUUUUCUGGGUGACAUUGAGAAGACAGUGACAUGAUUUGGAAUUACAGGCUCAUGCCAGGGAGUGUUUCUAAAGAGAAGCACUGCCCUUCUGGGAAAAGCCACCAAAUGGAACUGCAGAUUGUUCAUUUGCCACAAGAGGAGCAUCCCAUGUACACACAUCAGGAAGAAGGCAACCUGCUUGGGAAGUCAAAAAUAGCCACGCAUACCCGAAGGGAAUUUUCCCUCAGUUCUCCAGGCCUCUCUGACUGGCUGCAUUGAACUCACUCUUUGAAGAGCUCUGCCAUUUCUGAUGAGCAGGAGAACUUCCUCUCACGGGGGAGGAAAGCCAUGGGGCAAAUGUACGAAUCCCAUAGCUUUGAUCUCUUCUCACUACUAAGGGAAGAACAAAGAGGGCAUUAAAUGCCCCAUUUUUGUUUUCUUAGUCUGAGUUAACUUACCUCAAGAGGCCUCUCCAGAGUUACACGCAAUUGCUUCUUCAGGUCCCAGAAAUGACACUGCAAGGAUUCAAGAGAGUUUUUGUAGUGAAGGGACACAUCCAUAUUCAGAACUUCAGUCACUGCCUUCUCCACAGACAUUACCUUCCCUCAUAGUAUCUCUCUUUUUUUUCCCCCACUCCUACUGCCACCGCCUAAGUUCAGGCCACCACCUGACUAUAAGAACAGCCACACACUUGAUCUCCUUGACUAUAGAGCCCCUCAUAGUGACUUGAGUUCAAAACAUUGGAUCCGUUCCUUUCCUUCCUGAAGUCUCUCAUUCUUUCUCUGAAACAUCUCUUCCUUUUGGUUCCCAUCUUAUCCCAGGACCUUACCUUUAACUCUCCUGUACACUGUGCAUCAAACGUAAGCUCUUUGGCCUGGAUCUCGAGGUGUUCCCCCUAAACACUUACAAGGCUCUCCCUUGCAUUGCUCCUGUCUUUGUUCACUGCUGCUCAUGUUUAUCCCUCUGUCUGGCAUUUUUUUCUUCCCUCAUCCUUCAAAGAAAAAUUUAAGUUUUACCUCCUUAUGUAGGGUUGCCAUUUUAAGCAAAUAAAAUACCUAGAUAUCCAGUUAAAUUUGAAUUUCAGAUAAACAACAAAUAAUUUUUUA